rnacentral:tRNA from 1 species
GGGCCUAUAGCUCAGUGGUUAGAGCUGCCGGCUCAUAACCGGCUGGUCGCAGGUUCGACUCCUGCUGGGCCCA